AAUAGUUGCUGGGAUCUGG
rnacentral:miRNA from 1 species